rnacentral:rRNA from 1 species
GUGGCGAACGGGUGAGUAACACGUGAGUAACCUGCCCCUGACUCUGGGAUAAGCGUUGGAAACGACGUCUAAUACUGGAUAUGAUCGCCGGCCGCAUGGUCUGGUGGUGGAAAGAUUUUUUGGUUGGGGAUGGACUCGCGGCCUAUCAGCUUGUUGGUGAGGUAAUGGCUCACCAAGGCGACGACGGGUAGCCGGCCUGAGAGGGUGACCGGCCACACUGGGACUGAGACACGGCCCAGACUCCUACGGGAGGCAGCAGUGGGGAAUAUUGCACAAUGGGCGAAAGCCUGAUGCAGCAACGCCGCGUGAGGGAUGACGGCCUUCGGGUUGUAAACCUCUUUUAGUAGGGAAGAAGCGAAAGUGACGGUACCUGCAGAAAAAGCACCGGCUAACUACGUGCCAGCAGCCGCGGUAAUACGUAGGGUGCAAGCGUUGUCCGGAAUUAUUGGGCGUAAAGAGCUCGUAGGCGGUUUGUCGCGUCUGCUGUGAAAUCCCGAGGCUCAACCUCGGGCUUGCAGUGGGUACGGGCAGACUAGAGUGCGGUAGGGGAGAUUGGAAUUCCUGGUGUAGCGGUGGAAUGCGCAGAUAUCAGGAGGAACACCGAUGGCGAAGGCAGAUCUCUGGGCCGUAACUGACGCUGAGGAGCGAAAGCAUGGGGAGCGAACAGGAUUAGAUACCCUGGUA